rnacentral:rRNA from 1 species
UAAAUACUAAUACCAGAUCGAUAGUGCACAAGUACCGUGAGGGAAAGGUGAAAAGAACUGAGGUGAUCAGAGUGAAAUAGAACCUGAAACCAUUUGCUUACAAUCAUUCAGAGCCCUAUGUAGCAAUACAGGGUGAUGGACUGCCUUUUGCAUAAUGAGCCUGCGAGUUGUGGUGUCUGGCAAGGUUAAGCAAACGCGAAGCCGUAGCGAAAGCGAGUCUGAAUAGGGCGCUUAGUCAGAUGCUGCAGACCCGAAACGAAGUGAUCUAUCCAUGAGCAAGUUGAAGCUAGUGUAAGAACUAGUGGAGGACUGAACCCAUAGGCGUUGAAAAGCCCCGGGAUGACUUGUGGAUAGGGGUGAAAGGCCAAUCAAACUUCGUGAUAGCUGGUUCUCUCCGAAAUAUAUUUAGGUAUAGCGUUGUGUCGUAAUAUAAGGGGGUAGAGCACUGAAUGGGCUAGGGCAUACACCAAUGUACCAAACCCUAUCAAACUCCGAAUACCUUAUAUGUAAUCACAGCAGUCAGGCGGCGAGUGAUAAAAUCCGUCGUCAAGAGGGAAACAACCCAGACUACCAGCUAAGGUCCCUAAAUCUUACUUAAGUGGAAAACGAUGUGAAGUUACUUAAACAACCAGGAGGUUGGCUUAGAAGCAGCCAUCCUUUAAAGAAAGCGUAAUAGCUCACUGGUCUAGUGAUUUUGCGCGGAAAAUAUAACGGGGCUAAAGUAAGUACCGAAGCUGUAGACUUGCACACAACUUAGAUUAUUUAAGUUUAGAAUAUGAGAAACUAAGUUAUAUGUUUAGUUAUAUUUUUACUGGUUUUUAUAGAGUAAAGAUAGAAAUAAAACUUAGUAAAAUCAGUAAAAAUAUUCUUAGACUAAAGUUAAGUAGUUUAAGUUGUGUGCAAGUGGUAGGAGAGCGUUCUAUUUGCGUCGAAGGUAUACCGGUAAGGAGUGCUGGAGCGAAUAGA